UCUUCCACUUCGGUUUUCGGCAUUCCUCGCCGGUAACUGAAGACGGAUCUUCUCAUUUUUCUAUCUAAUUCUAAUCGAGUCAUACUGUCAUGCAUGUGGUGAUUUUGGAAUCCAUUAGAAUCCUUCCCUUAAGUGUGUUAUGGUGGUGGCAAUGUUACGAGUCCGCAUCCUCAGUCAACUAGAUCUCCAUCUCCGAGGCGCAGAUUAUUUGAGAACGGCAAUCUAGUACUCUUUUGUUUUCCACCUACACAUCCUUGAGUUAGUGUGAUCAUCUCAUUUCGCCCAAAAAGCCUCAUGAAGCUUUUUAUGUCACAACUAGGUCGAUCAUAUUCAUUAACACAAAACCUAGCUACAAAACUAUAUGUAACCUCUAUCAAUCUAUCAUGUACGAUUCUUCUAUAAACACUUUUCUCCCAUUU